rnacentral:lncRNA from 1 species
UGCAUACACUUCAACGUUACAUACGUGGCGCCCCACCACACCACCUCACUGGUUCACUUCACUCACCCAAGUCACCACCUCACCUCACCACCACCCACAUCGUCUUCUUCUUCGCUAAGCCUAAAAAGAAAAAAAAAAAAAGGUCUCCCUCCUUUUUCUUCUCUUCAACCCCCUCUCCACGCACGCGCUCCCCCCCGCGCGCUCGCUAACCCUAGCCAUGGCCGCACCACCAUCCGACCACUAGCCGCGGCGGCCAGCGACGGCGAGGCCCCCCCCACCCCGUCCUCCUCCUCCUCCUCAUCCGCUUCUCUCCGGUCCGUCCCUUCGUUGACUGCCGCUCGGUUUGCUUCCGAGGGUUUUCCUCUCCCGCUGCUGCUGCGAGGGAGGGUCGAUCCGUUCCUCCGCUGGGCGUGCCUGUGCGGGUGCUCCUCCUCCUGCUUCUUCCGCGGACUCCUCCUCCUCGAAGGUCCUUGUGAACUGAAGGGAGGUGACAUUAUGAAUUUCAGUGAAGGUUCAUCCUCUAAAACACGAAGUGGGCUUGUUAGGGGAAACACUACUGUGGCUGCCAGUAAUGGUUCAUAUUCUGCAACUCCAAGCAGGUUUGUUAGAGGAAACAUCAUUGUGGGUUCCAAAGAGGGGUCAUGUUCAAGAACACGAAGUGGGCUUGUCAGAGAAAGCAUCCAGAUGGAUUACAGUGACAGUUCAUGCUCUAGAACUCGAAGUGGGCUUGUCAGAAGAAAGCCCUUUAUGGUUCAAGUCAAGGAUGAAGCUGCCAUGAAUGGGCUGUCUGAUGACUGUUUGAAAGAGGACAGUCCAGGAAAGAAUGAACCAAAUCACAAGAGUAAUCUGGUUGAAAAUAGUGAUAAACCAGUCAUGAAGGGGCCUGAUGGAUGGUGGAAAGAAGGCAUGCUAACAAAGAAUGGGUCAAAGUACAGGAGUGACCCGGUUCAAACCAAGGGUGAAGCAUGCAUCAAUGGGCUUCCCGGUGGACAAUGGAAAGAAAACAGUGCGGAAAAGAAUGUAUCAAAUCACAAGAAUGAGCUGGUUCAAAGAAAAGAUGAUCUAAUUGUUGAUGGGCUUCCUGAUGGAUGGUGGAAAGAGGACAGACCAAGGAAGAAUGGAUCAAAUCUGAAGACUGAUCCGUACUACAUUGAUCCAGUCAGUGGAUAUGAAUUUCGCUCUCUGAAGGAUGUGCACCGUUUUCUUAAAUCAGGGGACAUCUAUAAAUGCAUUGUAAGGCCAAGAAAGAGAACUAUCCAAGAUCCUUGUACUAUUGAAAACCAAUCUCAUACAGCAACAUUGUUGCAACAUACAAGGCCAGGUACCGCCGACAAGGCCAUUCAAUGUGAAUUGCUAACUUCAGAAGGUCUCAUGCUGCCGUGGGAGGAACAGCUCAGUCCAUAUAGAGAACUCAACAACCCAAAAAAGAUGCCCGAGUUGGAGGGCAUGAUAGCAUCUCAAAAACAUGCCUACAAAGUUGAUGCUCCAAGGGAAAAGAAAUCUUUUCCGAGAAAAAGAAAACAGCCAAGUGCAGGAGGGAAGCCCAAGAAGCAUAAAAUCGUCCCUGCAAAAAUGGUUGCCAUGCCUGUCCGAGCAUCACCUCGCUUAGCUUCACUGAAGAUCACUCAUGAUUUAAAUACUGAGCCUGAAGAUGAACCUAUCGGUGUAAAUCUUGUCAAUGAGGUACAGUCUACUAAAGAAAGUCCUACUGAUAAGUCACGAUUGAACCAAGCAGGCAUUUCCACUGAAAUGACGUCUGUUCAGGAAAGGGCUGACAAUCAGUUGCUGUCAAGCCAAGCAGACACCGGGAAUCGCAUACGUGUUAUGGAGGGGGACACUACAGAUUCGUCACAGCUGAGACAAGCUGACACUGUGAACCAAAUACUCACAGAUCAGGAAAAUGCUGUCAGUCAAUUACAGUCGAGCCACACAGAUUAUUUUGUUCAAAUACGACCUAGACAAAAAUACGUUACCAAUUACUCACAAUCACAGUUGAGCCGUGCUGCCACUGUGAAUCAAAUAGAGACUAAUCAAAGGAACAUGUCAGGUCAAUUGCAGUCUAGCCAAGCAGAUUCUCUGGAUCAAAUACAGACAGAGCAGGAAAGUUCUGCCAGUCGGUUACAGUCAAGCCAAGCAGACUCUUUCAAUGAAAUACAGACUAUACAAGAAUACAUUACUGAACAGUCAGAGUCACAAGUAAGCCAUGCAAAUCAAAUACAGAUUGAUCUAGGAAACACUGUCGAUCUGUUGCCGUCGAGCCAAGCAGACGCCAUAUUUCAAAUGGAGACUACACAAGAAUACAUUACCAACCAGUCUCAGUCAAUCCAAGCAGAUAUUGUGGAUCAUAUGCAGGUUAAUCAGGAUAACACUGCUAAUCAGUUCCAUUUGAGACAAGCUGACACAGUCAACAGAAUACAAACUAUGCAGGAGAGCACCACUGAUCAUCCACAGCUCAUCCAAGCUUUAACUGUGAAUCAAAUACAGGUCAAUGGGGAAAACACUGCCAAUCACGUCCAGUCAAGGCAAGCAGAUACUGUGAAUCAUAUACAGCUUAAUCAGGAUAACACUGUCAAUCAGUUCCAGUUGAGACGAGCUGACACAGUCAACAGAAUACAAACUAUGCAGGAUAGCACCGCUGAUCAGCCACAUCUCAUCCAAGCUUUAACUGUGGAUCAAAUACAUGCCAAUAGGGAAAACGUUGUCAAUCACUUCCAGUCAAGGCAAGCAGAUACUGUGAAUCAUAUACAGGUUAUUCAGGAUAACACUGCCAAUCAGUUCCAGUUUAGACGAGCUGACACAGUCAACAAAAUACAAACUAUGCAGGAUAGCACCACUGAUCAGCCACGGUUCAUCCAAGCAUUAACUGUGAAUCAAAUACAGGCCAAUGGGGAAAAUACUGCAAAUUACUUACAGCCAAAUUAUGCUGAAAAUAAUAUCAUGCAAGUUGGUUUCUCUUUAACUCCUGAGCCGGAAGAAGCACCUGCCACAAGCUUUUGGAGAAAUGUUGCAAAUCAGGAGUUACCGGUUUCCAUGCAAACAGAUGGAAAACCUGUUGUGAGCUCUGCGUUAAAUGUUGAAUACCAAAAUGUGCCAGCCACAGCACCCGCUCAGCCAACGCGAGCUCCACAUCCUGAAGCAGCCUCCUAUCCGUCUGGGCUGGCUGUGCCAUCUCUAUUUGGGAAUUCCUGGUCAGAUCCAUGCAUUGAGUUUGCCUUCAAGACCCUUAGAGGUGACAUUCCUGUUCUGGAUGAUACUUCAGCUGUUGAACAAUACUUCCCUCAACAUGACUUGAAUAAACCUCCAUCACCAGAUUAUUCUGCUUCACCAAGUUGUUUUAGUUCCUCUUUUGACAAUACUAGAAACUUUACACAAGUCGACCAUGCCAGCCUCCCAGCACCGAAUCCGUCAGAUAAACUAUACAAUGGUGGUUGGUUCCCUCCCAAGUGA